AGAACGAACGCUGGCGGCAUGCCUAACACAUGCAAGUCGAACGAGACCUUCGGGUCUAGUGGCGCACGGGUGCGUAACGCGUGGGAAUCUGCCCUUGGGUUCGGAAUAACAGUUGGAAACGACUGCUAAUACCGGAUGAUGACGUAAGUCCAAAGAUUUAUCGCCCAGGGAUGAGCCCGCGUAGGAUUAGCUAGUUGGUGAGGUAAAGGCUCACCAAGGCGACGAUCCUUAGCUGGUCUGAGAGGAUGAUCACGCCAACACGUGGGACUGGACGA
rnacentral:rRNA from 1 species